UAUACACCUUCACAUGUCUAUAUGUGAGAGGGCAUGGUGUUUGUGUGUGGGGAUAGUUUGGUAGAGGUGCUUGUGAUGUUGGUGUGCAUGACACAAACAUGGGGUUCAAACCCCCAUGUCACUUUCUCAUUGUGCACAUGAACUCAUCCUAUGUAGUUGUUAUCUUAGAAGGGUACUUUAUGGAGUGCAUAUUCAGUUUUGUUGCAAGAUUGGUCUUUGAUUCCAUGGAAUAGGUGGAGCCCAAGGGCAUGAGUUUUUGUGUGUUAGUAGUAGGGGUUUUGCUCUACACCAUAGUGGUGUCAAUUACCUCUUGGUGUUAUAUG
rnacentral:lncRNA from 1 species